AAAAACCCACUGUAACCUUAGAGUCUGAAUUCAGGCAUGUAAGCCUGGUACAGUGUACUCACAUUGACGCGCAUGCACACUGUGGCACACAUUCAUUUCCCGAUUGUUAUCCAAUCAGAUUAAUAUAUAAAAACACCGAGGUUUUGGAGAAGUUGAGCAGAAGCGCAGUCUCCGAUUUGAUGGGAAGAAUGCUGACUGAAUCCGGCUGCCAUUUAGAAACAUGUGCGACAAGUACGCAGCCUGAUUAGAAAUGAAAACCGGUCUGAUUGCAACGGAAUUAGACACCGACUUAACCAUGGAGACCGACUCGGAGGAAACAAGUGGCAAAUGACAGCAGAUCGGGCUGGAUGAUCAGGAGACACAAUGCAGAUACAACAGGCUCUUCACGUGCACUCCCCGUGUUUUCUGGAUUCCAGUACACUUUUCGGGGUGCUUUCUUGAUGGCGAAACAAAAUGAAACUAAACUAUUAAAUUAAAUCCAGGACAUUAAAUUCAGGUGGUCAUGAUUCAGUCGUGAAAUAUUGACGAUGAUGAGUCGUCUUCCGCCUCAGUGUCCUGAGGGUAGCUACGAGAGACAGGUGAGGACUCGAGGAAAUAUUUUGGUGGAGACGGUGGGGACCUCGACUGGCUAUCGUAGCCUGCAGGGAAUCGGCCGUCAGACAUUCUGUCGCAUGUCCCAGACCCGGUGAAAUGUAACUGAAUUGUCUUGGCCAGGCCUAAGGGUCCCAUCUGCAUCUCAUCAUUGCUGAGGAGUGUGCUCCCAUCACCCAAUCAAGCAUCCAGCCAGAGCAGGUCAUGAUAUAUUUUUUACCAUAUUAACAUGCCAUUGUGUGUUAUGCCUGAUGUAAAGACUCUCGUCUCUGCGAGCCUACCACACAGAUUUAAUACUUGUCAUUUUUAGGGCAUACCUAACAACGUGUUUUCUUUCUCUCUCUCCCCCCCCCCCCCCCCCCCCAUCUGUCCCUCUGAGUUACAUGUUGAUCCUGGGAUUGAGAUGCUGGCCUCUUCUGCCCCUCGGACCUGCUUGAUCCAUCCUGGUGCCCUGUGUCUGGUCGGAGUUUUAUCGCACCGCUCCUGUGAAGGACGGCCCCGUGAGGACAGUUGAGGGUUAUACCUGUUAAAACUGUUAAUAUUAUAGUCAGGCUGUCUGUUGUUGCCCAAAUGAGGAUGGGUUCCCUUUUGAGUCUGGUUCCUCUCGAGGUUUCUUCCUCAUGUCGUCUGAGGGAGUUUUUCCUUGCCACCGUCGCCACAGGCUUGCUCAUUGGGGAUAGAUUAGGGAUAAAAUUAGCUCAUGUUUUAAGUCGUUCAAAUUCUGUAAAGCUGCUUUGCGACAAUGUUUAUUGUUAAAAGCGCUGUACAAAUAAACUUGAAACUUGAUUUGAUACUACUGUUGUCAUGCCGACCGAGGCUGUUGUGUUUCCCGCUUGUGGUCUCGUCACUCGUCACUUCCGGAAGGGGCAGUAAGUAGCUCGACAACUAGCUCGAUAGGGUAUACAUGCACCAAGUAGCUCGGCAGAAAUCGCAUAAUCUAGGUCGUGUAGCUCGAUUCCGAGAAAUCAAGUGUGGUUCAAUUUCAGCUGAAUUAAGGUGUAUACAUGGCAUUUAGAACUUCGAUUUCAGUCGAGCAACGGCAGAAAUUCGAUUCUCUCUAUGUGCAUGUAAACGCACUGACUGAAAGCCAAGGCAGAAAGGAAGAAGUGCAAGUUAUUCUGACCCACUUCUAUACCAAUAAAUAUUUAGCAGUGUAUCAAGUCAAACGCAAAAGGUCGAAAUCUAGAGACAAAUUACAGAAAAAAGAUGAAGUACAGCCCCAAAUCAGAAAACGUUGGGACGGUAUGGAAAAUGCAAUUAAAAGAAAAGAAAGCUGUAAUUUCUAAACUUGCUUCGACUUUUAUUUCACUGCAGACAGUAUAAACUCAAGAUAUUUCGUGUUUUGUCUAGUCAAUGUCAUUUCAUUUGUUAAUAUACAUCCAUUCCUGCAUUUCAGGCCUAAACCACAUUCCAAAAAAAGUUGGGACGAGGGCAAUUUAGGACGAGUUAAAAAAAAAAAAAAAACGCGAUUUGAAACAGUUGAUUGUAAUCAUGAUUUGGUACAAAAAUCAGGAAAGACCUCGUCUCUGAGGAGCAAAGAUGGGCCGAGGAUCUCCAGUUCAUCGUAAAAUGCAUGAGCAAAUUAUUGAAAUGUUGGAAAACAAAUGUUCUUCAGAGAACAAUGUGAAACGAUUUGGAUAUUUCAUCCUCGAUGGUGCACAUCAUUAAGUGGUUCAAGGAAUCUGGAGGAAUUUCAGUGGAUAAAGGCCAAGGGCGCAAGCCUAAGCUGAACACCUGUGAUCUCCGAUCCCUCAGACAGCACAUCAUCAAGAACCGUCAUUCAUCUAUAGCUGAUAGAACCACAUGGGCUUAGGAUUACUUUGGAAAACCUUUGGUCAAGCUACAAUGGUUACAUCCACAAACGGCAGUUAAAACUUUACUGUACAGAAAGGAAGCCGUAUGUUAACUGUGUCCAGAAGCACUGUUGAUUUCUCUAGGCUUGGAGACAUCUGGGCUGGACCAUCACAGUGGAAACGUGUAUUGUGGUCAGACGAAUCGGUAUUCCAGGUCUUUUUUUUUUUUUUUAGAAAUGAAAGCCGUGUGCUCCGGACCAAAGACUAAAAAGACCAUCCAGACCGUUACCAGCAACAAGUCCAGAAGCCAGGGUGUGUCAUGGUAUGGGGUUGUGCCCGUGCCCUUGGCAAAGGUAACUUGCUCUUCCGUGAUGGCAGCAUUAAUGCAGAAAAGCACUUUGAGAUUUUGGAGCAACGUAUUCUGCCAUCAAGACGACAUCUUUUCCAGGGAGAUUUCAGCAAGACAAUGCAGAACCACAUUCUGCACACAUUACAAAGGCAGGGCUGCCUGUUCUCCCUGUCCCUAAUCGAGAAUGUGUGGCGAAUUUGGAAAUGAAAAUAUAAAACCACAACCCCGUAAUGUUGCACACAUUAAUACCUGUUUGCAGGAAGAAUGGGACAAAAUAACACCUGAAACGCCUCAUCACUCGGUGUCUUCAGUCCCUAACAUCUUAAGUGUUGUGAAAAGGAAUGGCAACAUUACAAAGUGAUAAAUGCUUUACUGUCCCAACAUUUUAUGAAAUGUGUU